AAAAAAGCUGUUUCCCUGGAUGUGAGGAAAGGAUCAGGGUAAGAAAUUUCCCCAUGGCUAAGCCAGUACCCUCAAUACAUCAGAGGGUUUUGUCAGUUCUCCCUUCCUUACCCCCAUGAUGGGGACCUCAGCAAGUGCAGGACCCACUUGUCGGGAAUGUGGGCCAGGGGUCAGCCCCCAGGAGGGGACUGAGUUAGGCAGCAGCAUGGCCAAACAUAGGAUUAAGUCCUAAGUACCAAGAACCUACUCCUCCCAGUUUACUGGGACCCAGGGAAAAUAAAAGAUGGUUUGUAGAAAACCUCUGAGACCCCUGAGGGGAAGAAGACUCCAGUCCUCCUCAUGUUCAUCACCUCUGUUCUCUGGAGGGCAGUGAGUCCUGGGAUCUGUCAGGUGGUAAUACUGACACAGCAAGAGGUGGGGAAGCCCCAGCAAGUCUGGACCCCAAGGUUGGCUCUCCUACCCUCUGGCAAGCUCUCAUGGUUACCACAUGAUCCUUUGUAUUUCUUGCCUUCCAUUUCCCUUGGGUAGGUGGUUAGGUAGGUGGGGUUUUGUGAUUUGGGUUUUCUUAGGCAAGGGUCCUUCUAAGGAGGAUGCCUUCAGUCCCACCACUUCUAGGCCUGAAAAUGGUGUCACAUGAUGCCAUUGGUGAGGUACUGGAAGCCAUCGUAGAGUUUGGUGGUGAUGGACCUCAUGCUGCCGUCCACCAUCUGCUCCACCAGCAGCUGCAGCUGCUCCUCAGUCAUGCUCAUGUGGAACCUCUCUUUGAGGUUGCGAAUGGUGCUGGAGCCAUGGAAGCAAGGAAGCUGAGAACCUGGGGGGAAGCAGUGGAAAUUAAGGGUCAUAGACAAUUAGGAAGGCAGCCCAGUAGUUAGUGGCCACAAGGAAAAGAGCUAGAGUACCCCUUCCCUCCCCACCACUGGGAUCCUUGAUGGUACAGAGCAAUUUUGCUUGUGCAGAGAAAAGCAAUCAGGAAGCCUUGUUUUUAGUCCGUCCUCAGUCCUCAUCCCAUACUCCUUAGUUUCUCUGUAGGAAGAGUAUGUGGGCAUGAUAGGAAAAGGCAAGCCAGCCCACAACUUCCCCCAGUAAGCAUUGGAGAGAUGUCUUUGGGCCCAGAGGGAAGGCUGGGAAGAGCCUCUGGGAAUGGGCCCUGCACUUAUCUGGUUGCAGGCCUCUGCCUAUGCUAGAUCAGACACUCACAGAUGACCUGGGCCACCGUCACCACGGGGCCAGACAGAGAUGCUCCCGAGCAACGACGGCAACCUGUGGGGUAGGGGCAAGGAUGGGGAGGAGGAGACUGGCAGCUUAGGUAGGGUAAAUAUCUGGGGUGGGGGGGAUAGAAGGGUCCCAGAGGAACUGGAAGAGGAGGGAGUCCUGUGCAAAAAAACUGAGGGACCAAGGAAGAGGCAAAGUGAAAGAAAAGAGAGGCAGGAAAAAUGAGAGCAGCAGAGGUUAGUAGGAAGUGGUAGUGGCCGAGGUCAGGUCAGUCAGGCCAAGUGUGAUGGGAGAGAAGUGAGUAGAAGUAGCAGAGAAGGAAGAAGACUGAGAAAUACAAUUGAAUGGGAGAAUGGGAAAGCCAGGAGGCUGAAAGUGGCUGUUUCCCCAUGAGGAUACCUAAGAGCUUUCUGCUGUUCCUUUUCUCCUGCCCCACCCCCAAAACCAGUUCUGCCAGGGUGAAGAAUGUUUUAAAGGGGAAAUGGAGACCCCCUGAGAAAUGUUCCCCCACCUAAGUCUUGAGGUGGAGUUCAACUUCCUAAAAGUUCUAAGUGCAGGCAACCCAACCUGAGUCCCCCAGGCCAGGGCCCUCCUGAGCCACACCUUGCUGCAUGAUCUCCACAAUCUGUACCACCUUGUCCAUGUGCUUCCGAGCAGCAAUCAGCCCUUGCAGCAUGAGCAUCUUGUAGUAGUUGAACAUAUCACCGUUCAGGCCACCCAUUACCUGGAAGCAAGGAGAGUGUCUGUGUGCACAGAGAAAUUCUGGUGGGUCCUUUCUGUAGGCCUCAGAGCUUCCUCUCUUAAGGUAAUCAUGGUAAAUUUCCUUAUCACUAUCUCCACAUUUUCUUUCAUAAGCUCCCAGGCAAUCCUGCCUCGUCUUGACUUAUUGCCAUUUCUGUUCUGUUCCUAAUUUGGGGGAGUCCAUCAGCUCCUCUCAGAGGAAGAACACAGUUACCCUUGGAAGCACCUCUCUUUUUUGACUCACAUCCACAAAUUCUGUGGUCAGCUUAAAGGCUGAUGUCUCGAAGCCCAGGUUUCGGGGUGAGCUGGAAAGGAUGAAGCCAAAGUCGAUGUGGAUGAUGUGACCUUCUGCGUCCAGAAGGAUGUUCCCGUUGUGCCUGAGGAAGAGGCAACAGAAGUAAUCGAGCAAGGAGAGCUGUGACUGUUUCUUCACCUGGUGGAUGGACACAGCGUUGACUACUGGUUCAAUCAUGCCACUGUCAGCUGAAAUCACAAGAAUCUUAUAUGGCUUGAUCCAAAGAGGCACUCGCUCCUGUUCCCAAAUGGACUGUGAAGAGACACAAAGUUGUUUCAACACCUGGAAAGCCAGCAGCUCCUGGCGAAGGUCAUCUCCACACUUGACAAUGACUGAAAGGAGUCGCCAAUUGGGAAGAUGGCCAUACGGGGAACCUUCUCUGAUCCUCCU
rnacentral:lncRNA from 1 species